rnacentral:pre_miRNA from 1 species
AUUCAACAAUGAUGAUGAUGAUGAUGAUGAUGAUGAUCAUCAUCAUCAUUACCAUCAUCAUGAUAG